rnacentral:rRNA from 1 species
GACGAACGCUGGCGGCGUGCUUAGCACAUGCAAGUCGAACGGAAAGGCCCCUUUGGGGGUACUCGAGUGGCGAACGGGUGAGUAACACGUGAGUAACCUGCCCUUGACUUCGGGAUAACUUCAGUAAACUGGGGCUAAUACCGGAUAGGAAUCCUUGCUGCAUGGUGGGGGUUGGAAAGCUUCGGCGGUUUUGGAUGGACUCGCGGCUUAUCAGCUUGUUGGUGGGGUAGUGGCUUACCAAGGCUUUGACGGGUAGCCGGCCUGAGAGGGCGACCGGCCACAUUGGGACUGAGAUACGGCCCAGACUCCUACGGGAGGCAGCAGUGGGGAAUAUUGCACAAUGGGCGGAAGCCUGAUGCAGCAACGCCGCGUGCGGGAUGACGGCCUUCGGGUUGUAAACCGCUUUCAGCAGGGGCGAAGCUUGUGGUGACGGUACCUGCAGAAGAAGCACCGGCUAACUACGUG